rnacentral:rRNA from 1 species
AUUGAACGCUGGCGGAAUGCUUUACACAUGCAAGUCGAACGGUAGAGGGGGCAACCCCUUGAGAGUGGCGAACGGGUGAGUAAUAUAUCGGAACGUGCCCAGUCGUGGGGGAUAACGUAGCGAAAGUUACGCUAAUACCGCAUACGAUCUACGGAUGAAAGCGGGGGACCGUAAGGCCUCGCGCAAUUAGAGCGGCCGAUACCUGAUUAGCUAGUUGGUAGGGUAACGGCCUACCAAGGCGACGAUCAGUAGGGGAUGUGAGAGCAUGAUCCCCCACACGGGUACUGAGACACGGACCCGACUCCUACGGGAGGCAGCAGUAAGGAAUAUUGGACAAUGGUCGGAAGACUGAUCCAGCCAUGCCGCGUGAAGGAUGAAGGCGCUCAGCGUUGUAAACUUCUUUUGUACGGGAACAAAAUGCGACCUGCGGGUUGUACUGAGGGUACCGUAAGAAUAAGCACCGGCUAACUCCGUG